AAAGAGAGCAUUAGCUUUGCUUGUUGUAGACUCUGUAGAAAGGGUCAUGUCAAGACCAUAGGGAAGGUGUUAAGAAAACUGGAGUCACUCUCUUAGUAAGAAACGUGCUAAUCACAAAAUACACAGAGAAAGAAGAAAGGUAAAGUGCGCUGGAGGCAAGCAAAGGGCAUCUUCCUGUGUAAUUUUUCAGUUUGACCCUGAAGUGACAUGAAAUAUGCUCAAAUCCUUCUUCAUGUACAAGAUCUUGAACGAUACCUUGCCUGUGCAUACCCUGUAUAGUGAGUAUAUGGUGCUACCUCAGUAAGAAGUCUGCAGUGGAGUCAGUACCUGAAGAAUUGGGGCCUACUAUCACUCUUCCAUACUGGUCUUACAGAUUCUUUGGGCAGUUAAACAACAGUUUAAGGUACCCCUUCACUGAGUUAUUAGGCAUGCUUGACAGUCUGGUGCAAAGAACACCUCGGAGAAUUAAGGGAAUUUUAUCUCUUUCCAAACACCAGGAAGAAGAUCUUAGCUCCAAGGCUCUCUGAAUGCUGUACAGACAUUAGCAAGCCUUGAUGAUGCUCCUUUAAGGCUGCCUGAAAUUGCAGCAAAACCUGCUAUUGGCUGCUGGAUUGAAUUCUAAAUACCACAUGCAAAUUUUGUGAUUGGUUCCAUUUGUUGCAAUGAGUGGAACUAAUUCUCUGGAUCCAAGUAUAAUUAGAUGAAUCUAGAUCAUAAGUCUGGGAAUUGCACCCAAAAAUAUGAAGUUCAUUUUCCUUUGUUCUCUCGUUUCACUGAAUAACAAUAGUAAGUAUUAGCCUUUCCUGUUCAAAAUCUAUUAAGGCCAAUGAAGCCUAUAAAGAAAAAGCAUGACAACCUAUGGGAACAGCACAUCUUUACAAGCUUGCAGAAUGAAGUAGUGGAGGAAGGUAG
rnacentral:lncRNA from 1 species